CUACGGGUUGCUGCAGUGGGGAAUAUUGCACAAUGGGCGCAAGCCUGAUGCAGCCAUGCCGCGUGUAUGAAGAAGGCCUUCGGGUUGUAAAGUACUUUCAGCGGGGAGGAAGGGAGUAAAGUUAAUACCUUUGCUCAUUGACGUUACCCGCAGAAGAAGCACCGGCUAACUCCGUGCCAGCAGCCGCGGUAAUACGGAGGGUGCAAGCGUAAUCGGAAUUACGGGGCGUAAAGGCACGCAGGCGGUUUGUUAAGUCAGAUGUGAAAUCCCCGGGCUCAACCUGGGAACUGCAUCUGAUACUGGCAAGCUUGAGUCUCGUAGAGGGGGGUAGAAUUUCAGGUGUAGCGGUGAGAUGCGUAGAGAUCUGGAGGAAUACCGGUGGCGAAGGCGGCCCCCUGGACGAAGACUGACGCUCAGGUGCGAAAGCGUGGGGAGCAAACAGGAUUAGAUACCCGCGUAGUC
rnacentral:rRNA from 1 species